UACAUGCAGUCGAGCGAAUGGAUUAAGAGCUUGCUCUUAUGAAGUUAGCGGCGGACGGGUGAGUAACACGUGGGUAACCUGCCCAUAAGACUGGGAUAACUCCGGGAAACCGGGGCUAAUACCGGAUAACAUUUUGAACCGCAUGGUUCGAAAUUGAAAGGCGGCUUCGGCUGUCACUUAUGGAUGGACCCGCGUCGCAUUAGCUAGUUGGUGAGGUAACGGCUCACCAAGGCAACGAUGCGUAGCCGACCUGAGAGGGUGAUCGGCCACACUGGGACUGAGACACGGCCCAGACUCCUACGGGAGGCAGCAGUAGGGAAUCUUCCGCAAUGGACGAAAGUCUGACGGAGCAACGCCGCGUGAGUGAUGAAGGCUUUCGGGUCGUAAAACUCUGUUGUUAGGGAAGAACAAGUGCUAGUUGAAUAAGCUGGCACCUUGACGGUACCUAACCAGAAAGCCACGGCUAACUACGUGCCAGCAGCCGCGGUAAUACGUAGGUGGCAAGCGUUAUCCGGAAUUAUUGGGCGUAAAGCGCGCGCAGGUGGUUUCUUAAGUCUGAUGUGAAAGCCCACGGCUCAACCGUGGAGGGUCAUUGGAAACUGGGAGACUUGAGUGCAGAAGAGGAAAGUGGAAUUCCAUGUGUAGCGGUGAAAUGCGUAGAGAUAUGGAG
rnacentral:rRNA from 1 species